GACGAACGCUGGCGGCGUGCUUAACACAUGCAAGUCGAACGGACAGGCCCUGCGCUUGUGGGGUUCUCGUUUGGCGAGCAGGUGAGUGACACGUGAGUAACCUGCCCUUGACUUUGGGAUAACUUCAGGAGACUGGGGAUAAUACCGGGGAGGAUCUCCUGCUGCAUAUGGGGGGUUGGAGAGUUUCGGCGGUGGGGGAUGGUCUCGCGGUUUAUCGGCUGGGUGGGGGGGUAGUGGCUUACCAAGGCUUUGACGGGUAGCCGGCAUGAGAGGGUGGCCGGCCACAUUGGGACUGAGAUACGGCCCAGACUCCUACGGGAGGCAGCAGUGGGGAAUCUUGCACAAUGGGCGGAAGCCUGAUGCAGCAACGCCGCGUGCGGGAUGACGGCCUUCGGGUUGUAAACCGCUUUCGCCUGUGACGAAGCGUGAGUGACGGUAAUGGGUAAAGAAGCACCGGCUAACUACGUG
rnacentral:rRNA from 1 species